AGGAGGGGUGCACGCUCCUCCCCUUCCCACUUCCGUUCCUUGUCCCUACUCCAAGUCCAUCCUGUUGCAUUCUGGAAGUUUUAAUGAGCGUAAACGACGUGGACAAAAGGCAUGCUUUCAGAUAUGGUGGAGAAAGGUGCUUGACCCGCCGCGGUCCUCCGAGCCACACUCCACCCGCUGCGCGCUCCGGUGAAUGGUUCGGCCCAGCUCAUGUGGAUAUUUGACCUUCGACCCUACAACCUAUGACAAGCCAUUUGAUGACACGAACUGAAUUGUACUCCUGGAAGCACAGUGGAUCAAGAUUCAUUCCAUUGCCUAGGCUGAUCCUUGAGUUUUGUGAGUGACUUCACAAUGGCCAGGGAGUUCCUAGCCUCCUUCUACAGCCUUGGUCCACUAUGCUGGACACCCUGUGGCUGCUUAGCCUUUCUUGCCCCACUCUGUGGGCCUAGAUGUUAAUCAGCUGUGCCUACAAGGACCUCUGCCAGCGAGCCCUACUCUCAGGCAGUGAUGCUGUCCUGAAGUGUGACCAUCCCAUGGCACUCUGGUACUUCUCUUCCAUUCUUAGGGGCAUUGCUUAAUUCAAUGCCUGACAUAAGGAAACUGCCUGGGGGUAGCCUUCAACUGACCAAUCCUCAGCCCUCCCAGACCGGCCUCUAUCGCUGCCAGGGCAAUGAUGAUACCCUCAUGGUACAAUAUGAGAUCGACUUCCAGGUUGUCACCACCCUUCAUGUUACGCACAAGAGCCUGGACCAAAAGUCCCUGCAGAAUGAGACGCUGAUCCUGGAUGGCAAGGUACUCAUCUUUACCCACUGGGACCCCGGCAGGACUGUAACCGCUGUGGGGAACUGGGUGAGUGCAGACGCCUGGGGUACUGCUACAUUGAGGAGCCCGUGGAAAAACCCAUGCCCUGCCGGCUGUAUCUGAGAGAUGAGAAGAUGCAAUUCAGCCGCAUGUGGCCCGAACUGCAGGUGGAAGCCUGCCACAUACCCUGCAACCCCGUCAAGGAAAUUCACCAGCCAUACCUCAUCUUUGAUUUUUACCAGCCCGGCAAGUGGACGAACAACAGGUGGCUCACCUGCCCCUUGGCCUCCAGCUGCAGGUGACAGGACCAGGGCCGUAGCCCUGCCCUUGACCCCCACCCAGACUUUGUUUUCUGUGUUCACCUGGGCUCAUGGGUUACCUUCCAACAGAAAACCAGGCUCUGUCUCCCAGCCCAUAAGCCUUCAUGGUGGUUCUGCUAAGGAAAAGGUCUCCUCACUGGCUUGCUGAGAUGCGCAUGCAGGAAGAAUUCCCUGGUGUUUCCUCUGAGUGUGCCCUGGGCAGGUGAUAUUAGGGACACAGCAAUGACCUAGUUCUUGUCUGCACAGGCUUCUGAUAUUCAGGGGGAGGCCACAUGUAGAAUCUAGAGACCAAGCUACUCAGGCCCAUGGGCUCAUGACAAUGUAGACACUGAUGUUUCUGUCUCCUGAUUGGACCCUGGAUACAAUUUAUCUAUCCAUCCUUGUCCCAAUGCCACAGUGUCUUUGGUUUUCUUUUUUUUUUUUUCUUUUAUUUAUUUAUUUAUUUUUGAGAUGGAGUCUCCCUCUGUUGCCCAGGCUGAAGUGCAAUGGCACAAUCUCAGCUUACUGCAACCUCCAUCUCCCAAAUUCAAGCGAUUCUCCUGCCUCAGCCUCCCAAGUAGCUGGGAUUGCAGGCACCCACAACCAUGCCCGGCUAAUUCUUAUAUUUUUAGUAGAGAAGGGGUUGGCCAGGCUGGUUUCGAACCCCUGACCUCAAGUGAUCUGCCCUCCUUGGCCUCCCAAGUGCUGAGAUUACAAGCACAAGCCACUGCACCCAGCCCACAGUGUCUUUUUAUACCUUUCAAUAAGUCACAAUAUGUGGUAGUGUUUCCCAACUUUGUUCUUCAAGAUUGUCUUGGUUAUUCUUGGCCCAUUAUAUACAAAUUUUGGAAUCAGUUUGUAGUUUCCACCCCAAAACUCUUAUUUUUUUUUUAAUUGGGACUUUAUUGAAUCUAAAGAUAAAUUUGGGGUAAAUCAAUAUAUAUUCAAUAUUUAGUCUUCCAAUCCGUGAAUGUGGCAAAUACUUUCAUUGUUUAGUCUUUCUUUAAUUUCUCCCAAUAAUGUGAAGUUAUUAAUGUAGAGGACUCAUGUAUCUUUUAUUAUAUUUAUUCCUAGGUAUUUAAUUUUUUCAUACUAUCCUAUAGUAAUCUUUUAAGUUUCAUCUUUUAAUUCUUUGUUGCUGGUAUAUAAAUCAUAUUUAAUAUAUGACCUUGUAUCUAAUUUUUUGCUUGUAUCUUACCUCCAGUAAAAUGCUGAAUGGAAAAGUUGAUGGCAGAAAUACUUGUGUUAUUCUUAGUAUUUUACUAUGAAGUAUAAUUUAGCCCUAGGUGUUUUUGUUUGUUUGUUUGUUUUUUGGGUUUUUUUUGAGACAGGGUCUCACUCUGUUGCCCAGGCUGGAGUGCAAUGGCGCAAUCUCAGUUCACUGCAACCUUCGCCUCCUGGGUUCAAAUGAUUCUCCUGCCUCAGCCUCCCAAGUAGCUGGGACUACAGGCACCCACCAUCACACCCGGCUAAUUUUUGUAUUUUUAGUAGAGAUGGGGUUUCGCCAUGUUACCCUAACUGGUCUCGAACUCCUGACUUCAGGUGAUCCACCCGCCUCGGCCUUCCAAAGUGCUGGGAUUACAGGUGUGAGCCACUGUGCCCGGCCUGCCCUAGGUUUUUAAUAGAAACACUUUAUCUUCUUAGAAAAUUUCCUUUUGUUCCUAGUUUGCCAAAGGUUUUGAGCCAUAAAUGAAUGUUGAGUUUUAUCAGAUGCAUUCUCUGUAUCUACUGAGAUAAUAAUAUGGUUUUUCUCCUUUAUUCUGUUAAUGUGGUGAAUUACAUUGAUUGAUGUGCAAAUAUAACCCAAAUUUGCCGUCCUGAAAUAA